GAUGAACGCUGACAGAAUGCUUAACACAUGCAAGUCUACUUGAACUUCGGUUUGGGUGGCGGACGGGUGAGUAACGCGUAAAGAACUUGCCUCACAGAUAGGGACAACAUUUGGAAACGAAUGCUAAUACCUGAUAUUAUGAUUUUAGGGCAUCCUAGAAUUAUGAAAGCUAUAUGCACUGUGAGAGAGCUUUGCGUCCCAUUAGCUAGUUGGAGAGGUAACGGCUCACCAAGGCGAUGAUGGGUAGCCGGCCUGAGAGGGUGAUCGGCCACAAGGGGACUGAGACACGGCCCUUACUCCUACGGGAGGCAGCAGUGGGGAAUAUUGGACAAUGGACCAAGAGUCUGAUCCAGAAAUUCUGUGUGCACGAUGAAGUUUUUCGGAAUGUAAAGUGCUUUCAGUUGGGAAGAAAAAAAUGACGGUACCAACAGAAGAAGUGACGGCUAAAUACGUG
rnacentral:rRNA from 1 species